CGGAUUGUAGGCUGAAACUCGCCUACAUGAAGCUGGAGUUACUAGUAAUCGCAGAUCAGAAUGCUGCGGUGAAUGCGUUCCCGGGUCUUGUACACACCGCCCGUCACACCACGGAAGUUGGGGGCGCCCGAAGCCACUUAGCUAACCCUUUUGGGAAGCGAGUGUCGAAGGUGAAAUCAAUAACUGGGUGAAGUCGUAACAAGGUAUC
rnacentral:rRNA from 1 species